ensembl:lncRNA LINC00917 long intergenic non-protein coding RNA 917
GGAGAUCAGAACCUUCUGGAAUCUUAAUAUGCGAGGACUCGGUGGAGAAGGCGGCACUGAAGAAGAGUCGUCCCUAGGCCAGGCUGGAGGGAAACUCAAGACGGCGGCCUGGCCCUCCUGGGUGGCGGAAGUGGGAGCAGCAGGAGCCCUGGCGGAUCCGGGAGGCCAGAAGAGCGGAAGCUUCCUCCCCUCUCAGCAGCUACAGUGCAUUCCAGGCCCUGGUCUCUAUGCGGGAGAAGCCAGCAAAGACCCUGUCCUCAGGAAGCUUCCAUUUCAGUGCGGGAGGACCCACAAUCCAUGAGGCCCCGGGCCUGCGGGUGUCAAGUCCUGCGAAGGAAAAUAAGGCAGGGAAACAGGCUGGAGACUGCGGGUGCUGCGUGAUGUUGUUUAGGACAGCCACAAGGACUUUCGGGGGUCGUGGCAGCUGCUCCACUUCCAACUUCCAGAUCCCUCUCACUUUCCUCUUCCCACCAACUCCAACCUGGGACCAAGCAGGGGAAAGCAGCUGCAGCCCAGCUUGACGCCCCUGCAAAUGGAGACCUGUGCACCUGGUUGUGAGCAUUUUAAAGGGUGUCACACAGGGCAUACCCUUCGGUGCCUGGAUUCCUUUGAUGAAAGGGCAAAGCCUUGAACCUAAGUCAUCUUCGAGUCCUCAGCACUUCACCCAGAGCCUGGCACACAGUAGGAGCACAGAAAGGUUUACAUCCAGCAGGAGUUGGCCCUGAGCUCUGAGUCCAGAUCAUUGCUCUUGGCUGAAGCAGCCUGUCUACUCACAAAGAUGAGCAUGGUCCCUGCCACGAGGAAACUCGUGGUCCUGUGGACUGCGGUGUGGAGGGAAAGCUUGGGAUUCUGAGCCUGAUAAUGCACCAUUACAUCCCCACUCACUCGGGCUGUGUGAACCCAGCAAGUCACAGGAUCACUGGGUGGUGAAAGAAAGAAACACUCACAGAAGCGUCUGUGCUUGGAGAGCCAUCUGGUCCGUCAUUGUGACUGCUGCUCUCAUUGCUAUCAUGGGUGUCACCAUUGCCAUCACUCAAGGACUUCUCUCCAGGCCCCGAAGCCAAGCUGGUGCCUGGUUCCUCUGGGUUGGGAGAGGGGCUGGGCAUGGACAGGAGGAGGGAAAAGGGACCUGUGCUAGCAGGUGAUGCCAUCCAAGACAUCUGCAUCCUAAUCCCUGGAACCUGGGAUUCCACUAGGUGCCAUGGCAAAGAGGGAUUAAGGUGGCAGGUGGAGUGAAGGUUGCUAAUCAGCCGACCUUAAAGUAGGGAGAUGAUCCUGAAUGAGACAAAAGAGAGAACCAGUCAUGGUGUCAUGAGAAGGACUCAAAAUGCAACUGCUGACUUUGAAGAUUAAGGGGCUACAAACCAAGGAACGUGGUAGUCUCUGGAAAAGACAAGGAAUAGACGCUGCGUUGGGGCCACCAGAAGGAACCAGCCCUGUCAACACCCUAAUUUUAGCCCAGUGAGGCCUGUGCUGGACUUCUGACCUCCAGAACUGUAAACUAAUAAAUGUGUGUUGUUUCUGCCACUAGA